CAUAAUCAAAAAUUACUCCCUUGCUUGUUGCAGGUUUUGAUAGUUGGAAGGAAACGAAAAAUCUGAUUUGUUGACACGAGGUGGCCUCAUCAAUAUUAAAUUUAUUAAGAAAGGAAAGCUGCACUGAACUCGUCUAACGUCCUGAAUUCGUGAUUAUGGAUCUGGAAGAACAUCAGAGGUUCACCGCUUAACAAACUGGAUAAUCGAAGACGCCAAAAAUUCCAAGAGGAUUCUUGGCGGUGAUUGAAGAGAUCUGGGCGUUGGACUCCAUCGCGCCCCC